rnacentral:rRNA from 1 species
GAUGAACGCUGGCGGCGUGCUUAACACAUGCAAGUCGAACGGGAAACCUUUUAAUGAGGCUUCGGCAGAUUUAGCUGGUUUCUAGUGGCGGACGGGUGAGUAACGCGUGGGUAACCUGCCUUAUACAGGGGGAUAACAGUCAGAAAUGACUGCUAAUACCGCAUAAGCGCACAGGACCGCAUGGUCCGGUGUGAAAAACUCCGGUGGUAUAAGAUGGACCCGCGUUGGAUUAGCUUGUUGGUGGGGUAACGGCUCACCAAGGCGACGAUCCAUAGCCGGCCUGAGAGGAUGAACGGCCACAUUGGGACUGAGACACGGCCCAGACUCCUACGGGAGGCAGCAGUGGGGAAUAUUGCACAAUGGGGGAAACCCUGAUGCAGCGACGCCGCGUGAAGGAAGAAGUAUCUCGGUAUGUAAACUUCUAUCAGCAGGGAAGAUAGUGACGGUACCUGACUAAGAAGCCCCGGCUAACUACGUG